rnacentral:rRNA from 1 species
GAUUAACGCUAGCGGCAGGCAUAAUACAUGCAAGUUGAACGGCAGCACAGGUAGCAAUACUGGGUGGCGAGUGGCGCACGGGUGCGUAACACGUAUGCAACCUACCCUAUACAGGCGAAUAACCUUUAGAAAUGAGGGCUAAUACGCCGUAGUAUUACAGAUGGGCAUCUAUUUGUAAUUAAAGAUUUAUCGGUAUAGGAUGGGCAUGCGUCCCAUUAGUUAGUUGGUAAGGUAACGGCUUACCAAGACGAUGAUGGGUAGGGGAUCUGAGAGGACUUACCCCCACACUGGGACUGAGACACGGACCAGACUCAUACGGGAGGCAGCAGUAAGGAAUAUUGGGCAAUGGCCGCGAGGCUGACCCAGCCAUGCCGCGUGCAGGAAGACGGCCUUAUGGGUUGUAAACUGCUUUUAUACGGGAAUAAUAGAGUGUACGCGUACAUUUAUGCAAGUAUCGUAUGAAUAAGCAUCGGCUAACUCCGUG